rnacentral:rRNA from 1 species
CAUGCCUAACACAUGCAAGUCGAACGGAAACGAUGCUAGCUUGCUAGCAGGCGUCGAGUGGCGGACGGGUGAGUAAUGUAUAGGAACUUGCCCAGUAGUGGGGGACAACUUAUGGAAACGUAAGCUAAUACCGCAUAAUCUCUACGGAGGAAAGCAGGGGCUCUUCGGACCUUGCGCUAUUGGAUAGGCCUAUAUUGGAUUAGCUAGUUGGUGAGGUAAUGGCUCACCAAGGCGACGAUCCAUAGCUGGUUUGAGAGAAUGAUCAGCCACACUGGGACUGAGACACGGCCCAGACUCCUACGGGAGGCAGCAGUGGGGAAUAUUGCACAAUGGAGGAAACUCUGAUGCAGCAAUGCCGCGUGUGUGAAGAAGGCCUUAGGGUUGUAAAGCACUUUCAAUAGGGAGGAAAAGCAAGUGGUUAAUAACUGCUUGCCCUGACGUUACCUAUAGAAGAAGGACCGGCUAACUCCGUGCCAGCAGCCGCGGUAAUACGGAGGGUCCGAGCGUUAAUCGGAAUUACUGGGCGUAAAGCGCGCGUAGGCGGAUAUUUAAGUCAGAUGUGAAAUCCCUGGGCUCAACCUAGGAACUGCAUUUGAAACUGGAUAUCUAGAGUAUGGUAGAGGUGAGUGGAAUUUCAGGUGUAGCGGUGAAAUGCGUAGAGAUCUGAAGGAACAUCAGUGGCGAAGGCGACUCACUGGGCCAUUACUGACGCUGAGGUGCGAAAGCGUGGGUAGCAAACAGGAUUAGAUACCCUGGUAGUCCACGCCCUAAACGAUGUCAACUAGGUGUAUGGGGGUUUAUCCCUUGUGUAUCGAAGCUAACGCGAUAAGUUGACCGCCUGGGGAGUACGGCCGCAAGGCUAAAACUCAAAUGAAUUGACGGGGGCCCGCACAAGCGGUGGAGCAUGUGGUUUAAUUCGAUGCAACGCGAAGAACCUUACCAGGUCUUGACAUGUACGGAACUUUCCAGAGAUGGAUUGGUGCCUUCGGGAACCGUAACACAGGUGCUGCAUGGCUGUCGUCAGCUCGUGUCGUGAGAUGU